rnacentral:rRNA from 1 species
AGCGAACGCUGGCGGCAGGCCUAACACAUGCAAGUCGAACGAACCCUUCGGGGUUAGUGGCGGACGGGUGAGUAACACGUGGGAACGUGCCUUUAGGUUCGGAAUAACUUAGGGAAACUUGUGCUAAUACCGAAUGUGCCCUUCGGGGGAAAGUUUUAUCGCCUUUAGAGCGGCCCGCGUCUGAUUAGCUCGUUGGUGAGGUAAUGGCUCACCAAGGCUACGAUCAGUUGCUGGUCUGAGAGGAUGACCAGCCACAUUGGGACUGAGACACGGCCCAAACUACUACGGGAGGCAGCAGGGGGGAAUCUUGCGCAAUGGGCGAAAGCCUGACGCAGCCAUGCCGCGUGGAUGAUGAAGGUCUUAGGAUUGUAAAAUCCUUUCACCGGUGAAGAUAAUGACUGUAGCCGGAGAAGGAGCCCCGGCUAACUUCGUGCCAGCAGCCGCCGUAACAC